rnacentral:rRNA from 1 species
UACGUAGGGUGCGAGCGUUGUCCGGAAUUAUUGGGCGUAAAGAGCUCGUAGGCGGUGUGUCGCGUCGGCCGUGAAAACCUGGGGCUUAACUCUGGGCGUGCGGUCGAUACGGGCAUCACUAGAGUUCGGCAGGGGAGACUGGAAUUCCUGGUGUAGCGGUGAAAUGCGCAGAUAUCAGGAGGAACACCGGUGGCGAAGGCGGGGUCUCUGGGGCCGAUACUGACGCUGAGGAGCGAAAGCAUGGGUAGCGAACAGG